rnacentral:lncRNA from 1 species
CUCUGCUGCCCGCUGGGUCUCAGUCUCUGGGCCCCCAAGCCCACCAGCCUGGCCCGCUUCAACAGCCAGAGGCUCACAGGAGCCCAGUGUCCUGGCAGUCCCCGCCUCCCUGUUGGGGGAGACUCUCAUGGCGGCCCCCCGGUCAGGUGUCCAGCUCCUGCCAAGAGGACCAGGCUCACGUGGCAGGGGCAGGGUUAGAAGGGGGCUGGGGCAAGGCAGGCUCUUUGAGGUGUGGCCUCGUCAGCCCACAAGCUGCUCCACCCCUCCCAGCUGGGGUUUGCACACUGCGUCGUUGGCCUCCUCCCUAACACCGGAUGCAGUGUCUCUACCCCUCCCUGCCUGCCCCACGGGCCACACAGUCAGAAGGGUCAAAACUCGAGGGCUUCUGGUUCAAGGGACCCUCAGACAUGGCCACUUAAGGCUAGGGGGACAGGGAGGAAUCCGGACAAGUUGGACACCUGUUGACAGUCCCUCUGCCAUGAGGAGGCAGGAGCGCAGAGUGGUUAGAGCUUGCUCCCCGCCCCCCUCCCGCCCCCAGCAUUCUCUUGGCAUAUUCCCACUGCUACCUGUGUGACUCCAGGGCUCAGUUUCUUCAUCUGCAAAAAGGAGAUGAGAAAACUGAGUCUCAGAUGCGAAUAAACGGGUUCCCACAGCUGCGAAGCGUCGGAGUUGGGACUGCCAACACCCAUUGCCCAUGUCCGUGCUCUUAAAAGUCAUUGAGCGCCUACUCUGUGCACACUGUGCCUGACUGCUGGGCCCCAGGCGCCUGCUCUGAGAACCGCCAGAGCCUGCCACGUGGACCCCCUCCCCCCGGCAGCCGUCACAUCUGCAGCUCUCGUGGUGACACUUCAUCAGUGAUGUGGGAUGGGGACGUCACUCUUUCAAGUCUGUGUGCACACGGCACGCCUUAUCUCCCCAGCUGGACCAGCACACCCGGCCAGUGGGACGUGCCUGCGGUUUCUCCCAUGUCUCCUUCUGUCCCUAGCAGGCACUCUGGCAUGCGUGUAGCAAUCCUUCUUGAAGGAAUGUGUAAAAUGUGGAGUAGAUGGUGACGCUGACCACCAGGGCCGAAUUUCAGUUAGGCCCUGGUGCCUUUAUAGGUGACCACAGUGCUUGGUGCUGAGUACUUCAUGAAACUCCUCGUUGCAUCCUCCCAAUGGGCCCUUUGGGACUGGAGGACGCCCAGAGAGGCCAAAUGACUUGCUCAGUGUCACUCCAUGGUGCCUGGACCGGGGAUUGAAGGCUGGCUGUGCUGACGUCAUCACAGGAGCUGGGGGGCCAGUGGGCUUGUCCAUUUAUCCUGAGGGUCUAGGGCAGUGCUAUCCCGUGGAAGCAUCAUGUGAAACGCAUCUGUAAUUUUAAGUUUCCUGGUAGCCACGUUAAGAAAGUAAAAAGAAACAGGUAAAGUUGAUUUUAAUAAUAUGUUUUCUUAGCCCAGUGUAUCCAAAAUAUGUGAUCAGUAGAAAAAUUAUUAAUGAGAACUUGUACCUGAUUUUCAUUGUUCUCCGUCUUGGAAAUCUCGUGUGGAUUUUGCACGUUGGGCAGCUGUCCACUGGCGCUCGCUGCGUUUGAGCGUUCGAACGCCACGUGUGGCUCGUGGCACUGCACUGACAGCGUCUCCAAGGCAAGCUGUGACACCUUCCAAAACCUCACUGAGCAAAGCCCUCUGGAACCGGGCCUCUUGGAGCCGGGUGUCACUUCCCUGGCUCGUGUCCCUCGCAGCCCUGGGGACCUGAGGCAGCACCAGUGUCUGGACCCAGUGUCAGUGGUCGUGUAGUCAUUUGUAUGCCCAGUGGGGUCAAACCUGGCAUCAGGCUUGGCGAGGGGGCUUCCUCUGGACCAAAGCAAGCGCGGACAGAGGGCACAGCCUCCAACCCACAUCCUCCAGGGAGGUCCACCUGGGUUGACUUAGAAAAUGAGAUCAGGCCUGGUGGGCGGUGGCCUUCACAGGCACCCGUGAGGCUGUCACACUGGGUCUCUGCAUCUGGAAGGUCACAUUAAUUAUGUGUCCUCUGUCUGCUGGGCUCACUCCACCCGGGACACAGCAGUUUUCCAGCAGCCUAGGAGCCUGGCUGGCUGGCAGGGGGCGGCUGGAGCUUGGGUUUCUUUGGGAAGGGCUUCUUCUCCCUGAGUCAGGGCUUCUGUUACAGGCAGGAAGCUGCUGAUGUCAGCGGACAGCACGUACCACCGAGGUGUCUGCGGGAUGCCGCCUGGAGCAGCCCCGGGAGGGGCCGGCCUCCACCGUCUGCUUAUCAUUUCAGUGGAUGCUGUUUGCUGGCAGCUGAGGGUAAUUACAGGGCUGCGUCCUUGAGGACGGGUCUGCGCAUGUGUCUCUCGCAGGGCUGGUGGCCCGGCUGGGGCAGCCGAGCGAGCGGUGCCGUCAGCUGCUCACUGAGAUGUGAACUGCUGGGACUCCCGGCAGGGCCUCCGUUCGCCGCACCCCGACGCCUGGGAUGAAAAUGCCAAAUCUGUUUGAAAUGGAGACAUCUCCCCCCUCUCAGGGCCUGCGAGAUGAUGCCAUCUGUGGGCGGUCCUGGCAGCACUGACCUCCCCUCUCCAGCCACAAACUCUGCCCCCAGGAUGUCCUGUCCCCUGCAGUCCCAUUCUUGUCCUUGUCGCUCUUGCUUUGUUCUUGCUCCUUAGAGCCUUUUCGUUUCUCCCCUCCUCUCUCCGCCCUCCACUCACUAGCUCCAGCCUCCUCCAAUCUUUCCCAUCCUCCUUCUUUUCUGGACUCUUCUAGGCUGCUCCUGUAUGCCUCCUUCGAGUGCUUUUAUUUUGUUGCUGGGAUGGCCCCAGCACUGGGUUGAAUAGUGUCCCCCCCCCCCCACCAAUUCAUGUCUAUCUGGAACCUCAGAAUGGGACCUUGUUCCAGAAUAAGGUCUUUGCAGAUGUAAUCAAGUUAAGAUGAGGUCGUCAGGAUGGGUCCUAAUCCAUAAGGACUGGAGUUCCUAUAAGAAGGGGGAAAUUUGCGUGCAGAGACACAGACAGCCAGUCAAGGGCUCCCAGGAUCCCCGGCAACCACGAAAGCCAGAAGAGGCAGGAAGGAGCCUCCACUGGACCCUCGGAGGGAGCCUGGCCCUGCCGACACCAUGAUUUUGGACUUCAGGCCCCAAAACUGUGAGAGAAGCAAUUUCUGUUGUUACAGACACCCGCGUGCGCUCUUUGUUCCAGCAGCCCCGGGAUACCCAGGCCCCUUCCCAGGCUGGACCCCAGACCGACAGGAGGAUCCUCCCAGCCCGCCCCGCUCUGGGGGCCCCUCCAUGCCUCUGCAGGCUGUCCCUGAAACCCCGCUCUGUCUCACACGCAUUUUCGGGGAUAAUGGUCUUCAGAAUUCCAAAGGCUUUCCUUGAGCCGGCCAGACGCGGAUCUCAGCCAAGCCGCAGCCCCACCCUCGACAAGUGUUGCAAUCCAUGCUCAACCCUUGACAGUGUUUUCGGGAGAUCAACCAGGCAGUAGAGGGUGGGGUGGACAAGAACACGCAGACGAGAGCAGUAUUGCAACAGUGCAGACGGAAGCCAUCACCGCCUGAAUCGGGUGCAGUGUGGUUAGAGGGAGCAGGUCCCGGGAGCCACACGGGCAGAAUGGGGUAACUCCAGCAGAGCAGGGAGGGCACGUGGCCUUGGGCAGGUGCAGUUGAAGUGAUCCGGGCAGCCGGCAGUGGUUAGUGGGGAGGGCUGUGUGGCAGGAUGGUUAACAACCAUCUGGGGUGGAGUCCUGACUCUGCCCUGAGCACAGAUGGGGUCCUGGACCCCAGGCUCCUCGUCUGUGAAGUGGACGUGAUGUGGCCCACCUCUCAGGGCCCUGGGAGAGUGAGAAUCAGGAGGAUGGUAAACACUCAGACUCCCUAUUGUUGUCCUUGCUAUUGUUAGAAUUCUGGAACAUGUUGCAGCUACAGACUAGGUCGAUCUGCAAAAAAGCAGAGGAAAGAGGAGCAAAGGCCAGCGGCAGCUCUCGAGGGGGUGUCUGAGGAAGGGCAGCCGAUAUGGAGAUGGACGCGGGUCAGCAGAACCAAAUGCCACAGCGAAAGACGGGUAUAAGGAGAAGGAAGAGAUCAGGGGGACCCAGGAGGAGAAUGGAGGAGCGCCUGGGACGGAGCAGGGGAACGCGGACAGAGCGUUUUAGCAGCCUCAGCCAGCACAGGGAGAUACGGAAGGAUGCGGGUGGACACACAUAUGCACACACGCACACACACGCGCGCUCAAGCAGCAGGCUUGACCACUGACCGUGGCAGGCUGUCAGCACAGAGAAGGUGACCCAAGGGCUUUGGCCGGAGGGGCCAGCAGGGGUCAAGCAAAGGUGUGUGUAUUUCACGAUGGGAGAGAGGGCGUGGGGUGGGAGUUGGAACAGAGAUGCAGGAGGAAACAAGGUGCUGGGAGCUCGAAUGGGGGUCCACCUUGGGAAGGAGAAGGGUGGCCAGUCCGGAGACUAGAGGGCAGGAGAGAGGCUGAGACGAGAUACUCGGGAGCAGCAGGAGGAGAGGGUGCCUGGGGCAGGUGCUCGCUCUGGCUGCAGUCUUUAAAGAAAAGCUGCGGACAAGGGCAUCUGCAGGGUGUUUGGGGAGAUGGGGGCUGCACCAGGGUCACCAGGAGAUUAGAGGGAAUGGCUGGGAGCAGGGGAGCUGGGCCGAAUUGGAAUCCACGCAAUCUACACUGUCCUGGCAAAGCCCUGCGACCUGCAAACCGAGUGGGUGAGGCGGGGCUCCAGACAGGAGCUGGACUGGCCCACAUCCAAGGGGCUCAGAGCCUGGGUGUCAUUGGGACGGACUGGAAGUGGCCCCGCUCCCACUCGCCUGUUUGGGUCCCAGGCCACUGACGGAGACAUGGGAGCUGAGCUCUGAGGGGAGUGCAGGUCAGCACUGUCUGUACUUGUGUGUGUUUGCACACACGCACCAUCUAUGUGUGUGUGUUUGCGCACACCCACUGUCUAUGUGUGUGUGAAUUUGCACAAAAAGCUGCUGAAGGGACCGUCACCCCCUUGUCAUCACCUCUGGGUGUUGGUGUCUGUUGAUUUUUAUUUUCCUUCUUUUCUCUUUUGUACUUUUAAAUGUAGUGUACAACUGCCACGCCCUGUUUUUUCCAAAGACGAUAAAGCAGUUAAAACUCCUCCUGCACGGUGCCCACGGUGGGGACCGAGCUGGCAGGUGGAGCCUUUCUGCUCGUGCUGGUUGGCACACACAUUAUUUGAGGGACCGCUCCUUUGAGCCUCCCAGGUCCUCAGGUGCAAGUGAAUGCAAAGGGGUGGGCAGUCGGCAUCACCCUGAAUGCAACGCCCCCAGGCCUUGCCAGCUGAAAAUGCCACCCCCUGAGAGACAGGUGUCCCAGCCGGGAACCCCACAUCCUCCCUGCCAUACCCGCUCACCUGGCUGGCUCUUCUCCUGCCGUGUGGCCUCUGGACCUCACUCCUUGGUCAUCCAUGGACUUUGUCUCUUCUCUCUCGUCAGCGUCAGCAGCACCUCCCAGUCAAAGGGCAUUCGGUUCGCCGGCUAACACACUCUGGCGGGCAGUCUUCUCCUGUGACCCCGGGACCCUCUCUAGCUCACUGCCCCCAUUCCUCUGCUUCCUCCGGUUUCUGAUUCAAUCCGUCUGGAGUGGUGUUUGAGUGUUGGGAUUUGCUAAGAGCUCCUCAGGUGACCCUCACGUGCAGCCAGGGUAGAGACCCACCAAGCUCACAGUCUUCCAGAAAUUUCACCCAUCCUCAAUGCCUUCAUCAGAGAUGUGCUGGUAAAUGUUUAAUGAUCAGCUCUGGGGGAUGAAGACAAAAAGCCCUGCGUUACACUGUUUGCCAAUUGCCGCGUUGUAAAUAUUCCCACCAUGGCCUUUGAAACGACCAACGUGAAAUUUACCAGCUGGCAAAAUUCCUGAAAAUUUCACCUACGGGGAGGUAUCUCCCUGCAGCCCGGCUUUACUCUGAGCUGGCUCACCCAUCCCCCUGGAGCCCGGUUAGGCGAUGGAUGGAAAUCAGCUUUGAUAAUUAUUGCCUAAGGAGGGAUAAAGGCACUUGCACCGAGUGACUGGGGGGCUGGCGUGGGGUCCCCCCACUUGAGUUUUAU